rnacentral:snoRNA from 12 species
CUUAAAAAAGUGAUGAUAUUUUCUCACCCUAAACUGAUAAAUAAUGCAGAAAUAUUCGAACAUGCAUCACCAUCUGAUAAUAUAU